AGAGUUGAUCAUGGCUCAGGACGAACGCUGGCGGCGUGCUUCAUACAUGCAAGUCGAACGAGAAGUACCUUCGGGUAAUGGAAAGUGGCGGACGGGUGAGUAAUGUGUAGAGAAUCUGCCCUAGAGUGGGGGACAACAGUUGGAAACGACUGCUAAUACCGCAUAUGAGCGUAGCUGGAAUGCUAUUCUUGAAAACUUCGGUGCUCUGGGAUGAGUCUGCAUCUGAUUAGCUAGUUGGCGGUGUAAUGGACCACCAAGGCGACGAUCAGUAGCUGGUUUGAGAGGAUGAUCAGCCACAAUGGGACUGAGACACGGCCCAUACUCCUACGGGAGGCAGCAGUAGGGAAUUUUGCGCAAUGGGCGAAAGCCUGAACCGCAGCAACGCCGCGUGAUUGAAAAAGCCCUUCGGGGUGUAAAGAUCUGUCAGUAGGGACGAAACUUGACGGUACCUACAGAGGAAGCAUCGGCUAACUCCGUGCCAGCCGCCGC
rnacentral:rRNA from 1 species